UGGAUGGGGGACAUGUAUCUUGUGGAUCAGUGAGGGUUAAUAAAUAAAAUGGUGUGGUGGUGGUCGGGACGUGUUUGAGUGUUAUAAUCGUAAAUAACACGCCUGAUUGAGAUUCUACUCUCUCUCUCUCUCUAUGAUAAGAAGAGUGACUUGUGUUUCAAAGUCAUUCCCAUGUGCCUUGUCUCCGACAACUUUAUCUCUCUUCUUGCUCAUGCCUCUGGUUCACAUGGUACUUCUUCAAGAUUCACUAUUUUUUUAAGGGUUUUUCAUCUCAGAAAAAGUCAGGUGGGUACUACAAAGAUUAGAUCUUUCUUCACACGAGCAGUUCUGUUUGAUUUUUAAUUCCUCUGUUUUUCUAACUGUAAUAUGGUCCUUAUUGAAUUAUAGCCGUCACACAUAAGAUUCUCAAUCCUCUCUCUCUUUCUUGAUCCUGUCAGAAAAAUUCUUGAUUAAAUGUGAAGGGUUCCUUACAAAUAGAGGGAUCAGGUGGAUCUGAGUUGCAAAAACUAUAUGAUUAUUUAAGGUGUGAAUCAUAAACGUGACAAAAAAAAAUGUACAAGCAUCCAAGACAAGAGAUUGAGGCUUACUCUUUGCCUGCCAACUCUGUUGGGAAGCGUAGGUACGUACCGGUUCACAACUCACGUAAACGGUACUGCACGCCAGAGUCAUCAUCACCUGACUCUCCUGCUUACGAUGUUCUCUCAAACGCUACGGCCUUGGUAUCACAUAACAACUCUGCAUAUGAGGAUACGUCUGGCUCUUGUGUGACGGAUGAUUUUAAUGACAAGAUAAAGGAACUCGAAACGGUGAUGAUGGGGCCUGACUCAUUGGACUUGGUCCUAGAUUACAACGACUCCUUUGAUUCCACGUCGUGUCAAGAGACUAAUACCUGGAGAUCAACUCUAGAGGCCGUCUCUAGACGUGACCUAAGAGCUGAUCUUGUUUCAUGUGCAAAAGCUAUGUCUGAAAACGAUCUUAUGAUGGCACGUUCGAUGAUGGAGAAGCUGCGUCUUAUGGUCUCCGUUUCUGGUGAGCCUAUUGAACGUUUGGGAGCUUACUUACUAGAAGGUCUAGUGGCUCAGUUAUCUUCAUCCGGUAGUUCCAUAUACAAAUCACUUAACCAGUGCCCUGAACCCGCAAGCACCGACCUACUCUCUUACAUGCACAUCCUCUAUGAGGUUUGUCCUUACUUCAAGUUCGGAUACAUGUCAGCUAAUGGGGCCAUUGCUGAAGCCAUGAAGGAAGAAAACCGAGUUCACAUUAUUGAUUUCCAAAUAGGUCAAGGGAGUCAAUGGGUUACUCUUAUCCAGGCUUUUGCAGCGAGGCCCGGUGGGCCUCCUCGGAUACGGAUAACGGGUAUUGAUGAUACAACUUCAGCGUAUGCUCGUGGAGGUGGCUUGAACAUUGUAGGGAACAGGCUCGCUAAGCUUGCUAAGCAGUUCAACGUUCCGUUUGAGUUUAACUCGGUGUCGGUGUCAGUGUCCGAGGUUAGACCUAAGAACCUCGGAGUCCGACCAGGGGAAGCUCUAGCCGUUAACUUUGCCUUUGUGCUUCAUCAUAUGCCUGACGAAAGCGUGAGCACCGAGAAUCACCGUGACCGGUUACUGAGAAUGGUGAAGAGCUUAUCUCCCAAAGUGGUGACUCUAGUGGAGCAAGAAUCAAACACAAACACGGCUGCUUUCUUCCCCAGGUUCAAAGAGACAAUGGACUACUAUGACGCCAUGUUCGAGUCAAUAGAUGUGACUCUCCCAAGGAAUCACAAACAGAGGAUUAACGUGGAGCAACAUUGUCUAGCAAGAGAUGUAGUGAACAUCAUCGCAUGUGAAGGAGCUGAUAGGGUUGAGCGGCAUGAGCUUCUAGGGAAAUGGAGGUCACGGUUUGGGAUGGCUGGUUUCACUCCUUACCCGUUGAGUCCUCUUGUGAAUUCCACUAUUAGAAGUCUACUCAGGAACUAUUCGGACAAGUAUAGGCUGGAAGAAAGAGAUGGAGCCUUGUAUCUUGGUUGGAUGAGACGAGAUUUGGUCGCCUCGUGUGCAUGGAAAUGACACGGAGAUAAGUCUUUAUUGUAACCGUAAUCAAAGUGUGUCUACUUGUAUGCAGUUUCAGUUGCUCAUUUGAAUCUUCAAAAACAUUAGAAGAAUCUCAUGUCCGUCUACUUCUAGAAACCAUUGCAUGGCAGGACACGUCUUGAAAUACUAGUUCAGGCAUUUUGUGUGGACACACAAUACAUCAGUAACAAUUUAUUUACUA